GGUUGUGAGGUCAAUCUGGCUGCGACAUCUGUUACCCCAUCAAUCACCAAGGUUGAAUCAGCUGAUCUGGUUGGCUAGUCAGUUGUCCCCUUCCUUCCUCUCAGCUCUGUGUGCAUCCCUACCAAAGCUGGGCACUGCGUUGAAGAGGAAGACCUUCCCCAAUAGAAGAGGACCAUUUCCCAGUCAAGGAGAUACAAUAGCUGUGUUCUCAUGAUAGAACCUCCAUACAAGUUCUUAGGGUCCAUUUGUAAGAGAAAGUGGGAUAGUCAAGCUUCCAAGACUCCACACACAUCCAAAUGAGGUGCUGCAUGUGGCAGUCUGCCUUUAAAA
rfam:Ailuropoda melanoleuca scaffold3168_24, whole genome shotgun sequence.